UAGGAAGGGGGCUAGCGUUGUUCGGAUUUACUGGGCGUAAAGCGCACGUAGGCGGAUCGUUAAGUCGGGGGUGAAAUCCUGGAGCUCAACUCCAGAACUGCCUUCGAUACUGGCGAUCUUGAGUCCGGAAGAGGUGAGUGGAACUCCUAGUGUAGAGGUGGAAUUCGUAGAUAUUAGGAAGAACACCAGUGGCGAAGGCGGCUCACUGGUCCGGUACUGACGCUGAGGUGCGAAAGCGUGGGGAGCAAACAGG
rnacentral:rRNA from 1 species